rnacentral:rRNA from 1 species
GAUGAACGCUGGCGGCGUGCCUAAUACAUGCAAGUCGAGCGAACGGACGAGAAGCUUGCUUUUCUGAUGUUAGCGGCGGACGGGUGAGUAACACGUGGAUAACCUACCUAUAAGACUGGGAUAACUUCGGGAAACCGGAGCUAAUACCGGAUAAUAUUUUGAACCGCAUGGUUCAAAAGUGAAAGACGGUCUUGCUUUCACUUAUAGAUGGAUCCGCGCUGCAUUAGCUAGUUGGUAAGGUAACGGCUUACCAAGGCAACGAUGCAUAGCCGACCUGAGAGGGUGAUCGGCCACACUGGAACUGAGACACGGUCCAGACUCCUACGGGAGGCAGCAGUAGGGAAUCUUCGGCAAUGGGCGAAAGCCUGACGGAGCAACGCCGCGUGAGUGAUGAAGGUCUUCGGAUCGUAAAACUCUGUUAUUAGGGAAGAACAUAUGUGUAAGUAAAUGUGCACAUCUUGACGGUACCUAAUCAGAAAGCCACGGCUAACUACGUG